UGAUCAUUGCAAUUGGUAUCCAUAUACAUGUUAAUUGAUUUCAACAUCUGCGCCAACAAGGUUGGCUCCUCUCUCUCCCCCCCUCUUAAUUUCUUUCCUUUUUGUACUACUUCUAUACAAUUUUCCCUGCUAAAUUAAUUUUCUCUGGUUCACAUCCACUUGUUAAUCAAUUUCCAACUUCAAAGUCUCCAGUAAUUUAACAGCAAGUCACAUAUGCAUUUAAUGUUUAUUCAAAUCGAUGGUUUCACCACCGAAGAGAGUGAAAAUCAGAAUGAAAACGGAGAUGUCAAAUGAAGAAUCACUGCGUAGGUUUAUGUUCUUAAGAGUAUUCCCAAUUCCCAAAUGAAAGAUCUGUGAUCUAAGCUUUUGUCUUUGAUUCUGUCUAGAGUAAUCAAAUUAAUUAGCAGCCAAACAUAUUCCAUAAAACACAAUCAGUUACAACGUUUCAGCCAAAGGAACAUUUGAAAAAAGAAAAGAAAAGAAGGCAUGGCGAGCACAGAUCUUCAUCAUCCAGAAAAAGGCGACGGCGGACUUACCGGUUGGGUCGGGUAUGGGUCCGUGAUCAUCCAGUAUAGAUGUGGACGUGAACAGCCAAGAUGAGAAUAGCGUAGAGAGCAAAAAAGAUGAGAGUGUGAACAGCUAUAGCUUUGCCGUUAGUUUUCAUGCUUCCAAACUACAGCUGCCGGCUAUUUCCCGGAAUCUGAAAGAGAAGUCCCGGAGUCAGAAGAAUGAACAGCACCACACCAAUCAGUACAGGUCCCCAGUCUGCCAUUUAUAAAUAAGCUCCUUGAGAUGGAAAGAUCUGAGAUUCGAUUAGGUCGCUGCUUGAAAAUUUUGAUUAGUUGUUUUUGAGAUUAGUAAAGUGAAGUAGUAACGGUAGAAGGAAAUUUGUUUUUGAGGGUAUGGCUCUGAAUAGGGAUGGGAGUGAAUGAAGGGGACAGUUGAGUUGGGACAUGGGAAAUGUAACUACCGGUAAUAAAGCACAGUGCGAAGUGACCUCAAAAGAAUAAUAUUCCACCCUCCUAUUAUUCUUUCAUCUUUCCUUCAUUA
rnacentral:lncRNA from 1 species